rnacentral:rRNA from 1 species
GAUGAACGCUGACAGAAUGCUUAACACAUGCAAGUCAACUUGAACUUCGGUUUGGGUGGCGGACGGGUGAGUAACGCGUAAAGAACUUACCUCACAGAUAGGGACAACAUUUGGAAACGAAUGCUAAUACCUAAUAUUAUGAUUUUAGGGCAUCCUAGGAUUAUGAAAGCUAUAUACGCUGUGAGAGAGCUUUGCGUCCCAUUAGCUAGUUGGAGAGGUAACGGCUCACCAAGGCGAUGAUGGGUAGCCGGCCUGAGAGGGUGAUCGGCCACAAGGGGACUGAGACACGGCCCUUACUCCUACGGGAGGCAGCAGUGGGGAAUAUUGGACAAUGGACCAAGAGUCUGAUCCAGCAAUUCUGUGUGCACGAUGAAGUUUUUCGGAAUGUAAAGUGCUUUCAGUUGGGAAGAAAAAAAUGACGGUACCAACAGAAGAAGUGACGGCUAAAUACGUGCCAGCAGCCGCGGUAAUACGUAUGUCACAAGCGUUAUCCGGAUUUAUUGGGCGUAAAGCGCGUCUAGGUGGUUAUAUAAGUCUGAUGUGAAAAUGCAGGGCUCAACUCUGUAUUGCGUUGGAAACUGUGUAACUAGAGUACUGGAGAGGUAAGCGGAACUACAAGUGUAGAGGUGAAAUUCGUAGAUAUUUGUAGGAAUGCCGAUGGGGAAGCCAGCUUACUGGACAGAUACUGACGCUGAAGCGCGAAAGCGUGGGUAGCAAACAGG